GGGGCUUUAGCUCAGCUGGAAGAGCAUCUGUCUUGCACACAGAAGGUCAGCGGUUCGAUCCCGCUAAGCUCCACCA
rnacentral:tRNA from 22 species